UACAGAGGUGCCAAGCGUUAGGCGGAAUCACUGGGCUUAAAGCGCGUGUAGGCGGGUCGUUAAGUGUCCGAGUGAAAUCCCACGGCUCAACCGUGGAACUGCCGGGCAUACUGGCGAUCUUGAGGCAUUCAGGGGCGAGCGGAACAAAUGGUGGAGCGGUGAAAUGCGUAGAUAUCAUUUGGAACGCCAAUGGUGAAAACAGCUCGCUGGGAAUGAUCUGACGCUGAGACGCGGAAGCCAGGGGAGCGAACGGG
rnacentral:rRNA from 1 species